GUGCUCACUUUGGCAGCACAUAUACUAAAACUGGAACAAUACAGAGAAGAUUAGCAAAGCCCCUGUGCAAGGAUGAUACCCAAAUUUGUGAAGCAUUACGUACUUUU
ensembl:snRNA U6 U6 spliceosomal RNA